rnacentral:rRNA from 1 species
GACGAACGCUGGCGGCGUGCUUAACACAUGCAAGUCGAACGGAAAGGCCCUGCUUUUGUGGGGUGCUCGAGUGGCGAACGGGUGAGUAACACGUGAGUAACCUGCCCUUGACUUUGGGAUAACUUCAGGAAACUGGGGCUAAUACCGGAUAGGAGCUCUUGCUGCAUGGUGGGGGUUGGAAAGUUUCGGCGGUUGGGGAUGGACUGGCGGCUUAUCAGCUUGUUGGUGGGGUAGUGGCUUACCAAGGCUUUGACGGGUAGCCGGCCUGAGAGGGGAACCGGCCAAAUGAGGACUGGGAUACGACCCAGACUAGUACGGGAGGCAACGGUGGAGAAUAUUACACAGUAGGCGGGAGCCUGAUGCGACAACGCCGCGUGCGGGAAGACAGCCUUCGGGUUGUAAACCGCUUUCGCCUGUGACGAGGCGUGAGUGACGGUAAUGGGUAAAGAAGCACCGGCUAACUACGUG